UACAGAGGUCUCGAAGCGUUGUUCGGAUUCAUUGGGCGUAAAGGGUGCGUAGGCGGCGCGGUAAGUCGGGUGUGAAAUCUCGGAGCUUAACUCCGAAACUGCAUUCGAUACUGCCGUGCUUGAGGACUGGAGAGGAGACUGGAAUUUACGGUGUAGCGGUGAAAUGCGUAGAUAUCGUAAGGAAGACCAGUGGCGAAGGCGGGUCUCUGGACAGUUCCUGACGCUGAGGCACGAAGGUCAGGGGAGCAAACGGG
rnacentral:rRNA from 1 species